rnacentral:rRNA from 1 species
UUAGAGUUUGAUCCUGGCUCAGAUUGAACACUGGCGGCACGCUUAACACAUGCAAGUCGAGCGGCAGCAUCUCUCUAGAAUAACUAGCUUGCUAGUUAGGAAGGAGAAGGAUGGCGAGCGGCGGACGGGUGAGUAAUGCGUAGGAAUUUGCCUUUAGGUGGGGGACAACUCGGGGAAACUCGAGCUAAUACCGCAUAAUAUCCACGGAUCAAAGCUGGGUUUACCUGGCGCCUAGAGAUGAGCCUACGUUGGAUUAGCUAGUUGGUAAGGUAAAGGCUUACCAAGGCGACGAUCCAUAGCUGUUCUGAGAGGAAGAUCAGCCACACUGGGACUGAGACACGGCCCAGACUCCUACGGGAGGCAGCAGUGGGGAAUAUUGGACAAUGGGGGAAACCCUGAUCCAGCGAUGCCGCGUGUGUGAAGAAGGCCCGAGGGUUGUAAAGCACUUUUGUUGGGGAGGAAAGGACUUAGGUUAAGAGCUAAAGUCUGUGACGUUACCCAAAGAAUAAGCACCGGCUAACUCCGUGCCAGCAGCCGCGGUAAUACGGAGGGUGCGAGCGUUAAUCGGAAUUACUGGGCGUAAAGGGCACGUAGGCGGCUAUGUAAGUUAGAUGUGAAAGUCCUGGGCUUAACCUGGGAAAGCCAUUUAAUACUGCGUAGCUAGAAUACAAGAGAGGUAAGUGGAAUUUCCGGUGUAGCGGUGAAAUGCGUAGAUAUCGGAAGGAACAUCAGUGGCGAAGGCGGCUUACUGGCUUGAUAUUGACGCUGAGGUGCGAAGGCGUGGGUAGCGAACAGGAUUAGAGACCCUGGUAGUCCACGCGGUAAACGAUGAGAACUAGCUGUUGGGAUGGGAAGACAUUUUAGUAGCGAAGCUAACGCGCGAAGUUCUCCGCCUGGGGAGUACGGUCGCAAGAUUAAAACUCAAAGGAAUUGACGGGGGCCCGCACAAGCGGUGGAGCAUGUGGUUUAAUUCGAUGCAACGCGAAGAACCUUACCUACCCUUGACAUCCUCUUAAUUCUGGGUAAUGCCGGAAGUGCCUUCGGGAAGAGAGAGACAGGUGCUGCAUGGCUGUCGUCAGCUCGUGUUGUGAGAUGUUGGGUUAAGUCCCGUAACGAGCGCAACCCUUAUCCUUAGUUGCCAGCGAUUCGGUCGGGAACUCUAAGGAGACUGCCGGUGAUAAACCGGAGGAAGGUGGGGACGAGGUCAAGUCAUCAUGGCCCUUAUGGGUAGGGCUGCACACGUGCUACAAUGGUUGGUACAGAAGGAAGCAAAGGGGCGACCUGGAGCGAACCCGCUAAAGCCAAUCUCAGUCCGGAUUGCAGUCUGCAACUCGACUGCAUGAAGUUGGAAUCGCUAGUAAUCGCAAAUCAGCAUGUUGCGGUGAAUACGUUCCCGGGCCUUGUACACACCGCCCGUCACACCAUGGGAGUGGUUGAUACCAGAAGUAGGUAGCUUAACUUCGGAGAGCGCUUACCACGGUAUGGAUCAUGACUGGGGUGAAGUCGUAACAAGGUAACC